AUAAAUAUUGAAAAAUAUUGACAUUAAUAUUUAUACGAUACUAACGUCACUCAAUUGUUUGCCUUCCCGAAACGCCUCCAAUAACACUUAAACUUUAUGGUAUUCUAUUAAAGUUGUAAUUGACUUGCAAUUGUUUUUAAUUUUGAUUUUAAUUAAAAUAUAGUUUCGGACGACGAUUUUGUUCUUUGCGAACUUUCCAAAACACGGACAUUGGUGAACUUGUCAAUGCAAUGGACUCUAAGUGCUAGUGUUUUGCUACCAUCCCUACAUUCUCGAGUUUUUACGCCGACAAUUUACGAACGGCAGCGUACCCGCCAGAGGUAUGGCUGUAUACAUAAAAAACAGGCGCAGAACUCUGUUCCAUUCCUCAAGUCCAAGUACCAGGUUCCCUACUAGCGCCGCUAAUGAGAUCUUUGAUCCAAGCUGCUCCAAGCACUUCAUCAUCGACAAUGAAUUGUCCAGUAAAUUGCUUAAGCUGUGUCGACAGAAUGGCAUAGGCGGCAUCAGCCAUGAACACGGGCUUGCGAGACCACUGGGCCGAUUCAGAACCACCCUAUAAUAGAAACGUUGGUCCAGAUUCUGCAUUACUUCGUCAUUACUCUUGAUUCUGCAGAACAAUGGCUGUUGGUUGUCUCCAAAGGAGUUUGUUGGCUUGACGCCUAUCCGGCUUUCUCAAUUCUGUGAUGCCGAAAUGGAUAAAUGCAGUUGCUGCGACAAGGAAUCCGGCAAAUUACAAAAAAUUAAAUUUUCCCAAGAUAAAUAAUCUGGCUGCUCUACGACGUCCCGUCGCAAGGAAGAAUCUGGCGAUAUCUGUUCUGCUGCAGAUCUUACAGCAGUGGGCCGACAUCAACGCCAUUCUCUUCUUUUCUACUUCCAUAUUCGAAGAUGUGCGAUGUCACACAUCUCACACAUUUCAGAUGAGUGAAAGCGGUCCAGAUUCGGUGGUCGGGUCGUUUCCGAUGUCGUAUCCAAGCAUUCGAGACAGACCGAGUACUAUAUCAGUCAAACAGAAUCGUACCCUAGCAGGACAGAACCCUUGGAAGUUCCGAACAUAACAAGUCAUUGAUUGCCAGUUUAGACCCCAUUUCUACCACUUUUUCUAAUACCUUUUGUAAUAUUUUUGAGAAUUUUGUAGUAUUUUCUAGUAUUUAUUAUUGAAUCACCUCGUUGUGCUAAUCCAAUAAAGUAAAAAUCCAGUAAAUGUCAUUUAAAGCCACGUCCUAGGCCAUAUCGAAUAUAAGCAUAUAUCGUAUAACCAUAUCGUGAUAAGC
rnacentral:sRNA from 15 species